AUUGAACGCUGGCGGCAGGCCUAACACAUGCAAGUCGAACGAGUGGCGGACGGGUGAGUAAUGUCUGGGAAACUGCCUGAUGGAGGGGGAUAACUACUGGAAACGGUAGCUUAUCACGCAUACAAUCGUAUGUGCCCAUAUGGGAUUAGCUAGUAGGUGGGGUAAUGGCUCACCUAGGCGACGAUCCCUAGCUGGUCAGAGAGGAUGACCAGCCACACUGGAACUGAGACACGGUCCAGACUCCUACGGGAGGAAGCAGUGGGGAAUAUUGCACAAUGGGCGCAAGCCUGAUGCAGCCAUGCCGCGUGUAUGAAGAAGGCCUUCGGGUUGUAAAGUACUUUCAGCGGGGAGGCGUUACCCGCAGAAGAAGCACCGGCUAACUCCGUGCCAGCAGCCGCGGUAAUUC
rnacentral:rRNA from 1 species